AUAACGUUACAUUCCUGAGGAUAAGCAGUAGAGGACGCCAAAGCUGUUUCUAAAGACUAGUUGCUUCAAACCAUUUCCUUGUGUGAUUUUUAAUCUUCUUGUGGCGCUUAUAGAUUCAGUCAAGUCGCAAGUCUUCGAAUAAGGAGAGGUUUAAUUGCAGGGUUACAGGAGUGCAGUGCCUCGGGAUGCUGAGCGGCCGAACCGGGCCCUACCCUGUCAUUUACUCGCGUCAAGCUCAGCUCAGCCAUGGGGAAGCUGGAGAUUUUCACGGCAGUGUGUUUGAGAGGUUCAGAACAGAAGGGGACAGAUGGGCCCAGUGAAAGUCUCCAUUGAGAGAGCCUGUCCUCAGGCUCCAGCCCAGCUGUCAGAGAGCACUGAGACAGCAGGAAAGGUGAGAUUCACCUAUUUUGAAGGCAGACAAGUAACAUAUGUGUCAGAAUUACUAAUCUUACACAGAGGUGACUCAGUGUUUGGUAGCUGGCAGACCUGCCCCUGUGUAAAUGAUAGGCAGAUUAAAGAAAUCAAUGGCCUUUUGAAGGGCAAGGGAUUUGCUGAUUCUCAUCUCUUGAACAGGGAGUUGAUUCCCAGUCAGGGGUAUGUGCACUUGAAAGGGUUUCAUUUGGCUUUCAUUUGACAAAAAAA